UCCAGGUUAUCCCUGGCGGUCUCCUGCGAGUUCCGUCUUUCGACAUGGCAACACAGGACAAGGGUUGCGCUCGUUGCGGGACUUAACCCAACAUCUCACGACACGAGCUGACGACAGCCAUGCAGCACCUCGACUCCACCCCCUUGCGGGGUACCGGCAUUUCUGCCGGCGUUGAGAAGCCGUUCGAGCCUAGGUAAGGUUCUUCGCGUUGCGUCGAAUUGAACCACAUGCUCCACCGCUUGUGCGGGCCCCCGUCAAUUCCUUUGAGUUUCAGCCUUGCGACUGUACUCCCCAGGCGGCAUAUUUAACGCGUUAGCUCCGGCACGGAUCAACUGAAUGACCCACACCAAAUAUGCAUCGUUUAGGGCGUGGACUAC
rnacentral:misc_RNA from 1 species